CUAUGGCCCCUGGGAUGUAUUGCCCUUUAAAGACAUGAUUUGGGCAUAAUGGAUUUGUGUUGUGCUGCUGCUGGCCCUUUAAGAACCAUCUGGAGACAUACUGUGGAGUUACUGGGUGGCCACCAUUUCCUGUAUCAGAAGCACAUGGUGAGAACAAUGGAUGGCGGCCAUUUUAACUCACAGACACUGUUUGGACUUUUCAACACGGUGCCAUCUCGCCAGUAUUUGGUGCACAGAGACAUCGUGCAGUGGUUUUGGACUAUACAGCAGGGGAC